GCUAGCUCGGGGCCAGGGGCCGGGGUGAGACGGGGGGUGCGAGCGUUGUUCGGAAGUAUUGGGCUGAAAGAGCAUGUAGGGGGAGUGUUAAGUCUGGUGUGAAAGCCCGGGGUUCAACCCCGUAAGUGCAUUGGAUACUGGCAAUCUUGAGUAUGGGAGAGGAAAGUGGAAUUCCGAGUGUAGGAGUGAAAUCCGUAGAUAUUCGGAGGAACACCAGUGGCGAAGGCGGCUUUCUGGACCAAUACUGACGCUGAGAUGCGAAAGCGUGGGGAGCAAACAGGAUUAGAUACCCUGGUAGUC
rnacentral:rRNA from 1 species